CUCCAAGGCUAAAUACUCCUGACUGACCGAUAGUGAACCAGUACCGUGAGGGAAAGGCGAAAAGAACCCCGGCGAGGGGAGUGAAAAAGAACCUGAAACCGUGUACGUACAAGCAGUGGGAGCCCCACCACCAAAGCAUUUGCUGUACCGCGUUGACGGAGCGAAGCGACGUCAAACCGAUAAAACAGCAGUGUAAAGUGAGCCGCAGGGCGCUUUGCGCGACAGCGCAAAGGCAGGCGGUUUCGCGUAGCGAAAGCGAAUGCUUUGGGGUGGGGUGACUGCGUACCUUUUGUAUAAUGGGUCAGCGACUUAUAUUCUGUAGCAAGGUUAACCGAAUAGGGGAGCCGGAGGGAAACCGAGUCUUAAUUGGGCGUUAAGUUGCAGGGUAUAGACCCGAAACCCGGUGAUCUAGCCAUGGGCAGGUUGAAGGUUGGGUAACACUAACUGGAGGACCGAACCGACUAAUGUUGAAAAAUUAGCGGAUGACCUGUGGCUGGGGGUGAAAGGCCAAUCAAACCGGGAGAUAGCUGGUUCUCCCCGAAAGCUAUUUAGGUAGCGCCUCGUGAAUUCAUCUCCGGGGGUAGAGCACUGUUUCGGCUAGGGGGCCAUCCCGGCUUACCAACCCGAUGCAAACUGCGAAUACCGGAGAAUGUUAUCACGGGAGACACACGGCGGGUGCUAACGUCCGUCGUGAAGAGGGAAACAACCCAGACCGCCAGCUAAGGUCCCAAAGUCAUGGUUAAGUGGGAAACGAUGUGGGAAGGCCCAGACAGCCAGGAUGUUGGCUUAGAAGCAGCCAUCAUUUAAAGAAAGCGUAAUAGCUCACUGGUCGAGUCGGCCUGCGCGGAAGAUGUAACGGGGCUAAACCAUG
rnacentral:rRNA from 1 species